CACGUAGGGGGCGAGCGUUGUCCGGAUUUAUUGGGCGUAAAGAGCUCGUAGGCGGCUCGGUAAGUGAGGUGUGAAAACUCCAGGCUCAACCUGGAGACGCCACCUCAUACUGCCGUGGCUAGAGUCCGGUAGGGGAGCAUGGAAUUCCUGGUGUAGCGGUGAAAUGCGCAGAUAUCAGGAGGAACACCAGUGGCGAAGGCGGUGCUCUGGGCCGGAACUGACGCUGAGGCGCGAAGCGUGGGGAGCAAACAGG
rnacentral:rRNA from 1 species